rnacentral:rRNA from 1 species
AUGUGCCGUCAACCGUCGACACUUGAGCUGUCUCCAGAUGAGCAGCUUGCUGCUGAAGAAACCUUCAAGUUGUACUGCAAGCCAGUUGAGCUCUGCAAUGUUAUCCAAAAACGAGCCCUUGAUAAUCCCGCUUUUCUGCAAAGAUGCCUCCAUUACAUGAUACAGGCAAGCCGCAAAAAGAGGAUUCAACUAACUGUAUCCCUUUCUCGAGGCACAAAUACUGACCACAACAUCUUCCCCCUUUAUGUUUUGUUAGCUACACCUACUAGUGAUAGCAUCCCACUUGAAGGGCAUUCUCCGAUAUAUCGAUUCAGUCGUGCCUGUUUGCUUACGUCAUUCACUGAAUUUGCUAGUAAAGACCACAACAAAGCCACAUUCACAAUUCCAGACGUCAAGAAUAUAGCAACCUCCCGAGCUUGCAACCUCAGCAUUAUCCUUAUCCGUUGUGUUUCAGAUUCAGAAGGGCAGGUUGGAGAAAAUAACUGCUCUGGGGACCAUGUGGAAGCAUCUGCUCUCCGAAAGCUUGAAGGGAAAUGUUUCUGGGGUAAAAUACCAAUUAAUUUACUUGGUUCGUCGUUGGAGAAUUGCGUGACUUUAAAUUUGGGACAUACUGUGGAGUUGGCUUCUACAGUUACUAUGAACCCAAGUUUCUUAGAGCCAAAAUUUCUGGAGCAGGACAGUUGCUUGACAUUUUGCUCUCAUAAGGUUGAUGCUACGGGUUCAUAUCAACUCCAAGUUGGCAUAUCCGUUCAAGAGGCUGGUGCAAGAGACAUGUCUGAAUCUCCGUAUAAUAGUUACUCAUACAGUGAUGUCCCACCUUCAUCAUUACCUCAUAUUAUAAGGUUAAGAGCUGGUAAUGUGAUUUUCAACUUCAAGUACUACAACAAUACUAUGCAAAAGACUGAAGUCACCGAAGAUUUUGCUUGCGCCUUUUGCUUGGUAAAGUGCGGAAGCUACAAGGGCCUGGGGUGUCACUUGAACUCAACGCAUGACCUAUUCCACUUUGAGUUUUGGAUAUCUGAAGAAUGCCAGGCUGUUAAUGUUAGUCUGAAGGCUGAUGCCUGGAAAAUGGAGCUUGUGGGCAAGGGAGUUGAUCCAAGACAUCAAACAUUUUCCUACUGCUCAAGGCUUAAGAUGCGUCGUCGAAGGUCGCUAGCCACAGUUGAGAAUAUAAGCCCUGUACAUCCACAUAUCAUGGAUUCAGUUUCACCUGAAGAUGCCCAGGCAGGAUCGUCUAAAGACGAGUUUGUUCAGAGGGAAGAUGAUAAUAAUUCAGUAGCACCCGAUUCUGCCGAGCAUGAUCACUCAUUAAAUGGUAGCAAUCUUACACCACCGACAGUACUAGAGUUUGGGAAGACAAGGAAACUAUCUGCGGAGCGAAGUGAUCCCAGAAACCGACAACUUCUGCAGAAACGUCAGUUCUUCCAUUCUCACAGGGCACAGCCAAUGGCAGUGGAACAAGUUUUGUCAGAUCAUGACAGCGAGGAUGAAGUUGACGAUGACAUUGCCGACUUGGAAGAUAGACGGAUGCUUGCUGAUUUUCUUGAUGUCACGAAAGAUGAGAAGCUUAUUAUGCAUAUGUGGAAUUCAUUUAUUCGGAAACAAAGGGUGCUAGCUGAUGGGCAUAUACCUUGGGCCUGUGAGGGCUUCUCCCGGCUUCAUGGACCGCAGCUUGUACAAAACCCUCCUCUGCUCUGGUGCUGGCGUUUGGUGAUGAUUAAGCUGUGGAACCACAGCCUGCUGGAUGCGCGCGCCAUGAACACAUGCAACACCAUUCUUGAGGGAUACCAACCCAACAACAAGACGUUUUAA